GACGAGGGGUCCAAGCGUUGUUCGGAAUCAUUGGGCGUAAAGCGGGUGUAGGCGGCUCUAUAAGUCAGGAGUGAAAGCCCCCGGAGCUUAACUUGGGAAGUGCUUUUGAUACUGCAGAGCUUGAAUGUGGGAGAGGUUAGUGGAAUUCCUGGUGUAGUGGUGAAAUACGUAGAUAUCAGGAGGAACACCGGUGGCGAAGGCGGCUAACUGGCCCAACAUUGACGCUGAGACCCGAAAGCAUGGGGAUCAAACAGG
rnacentral:rRNA from 1 species